GCUUGUAUAAUUGAUUUGCAAUCAAAAUUUUAAUUAAUAUUAUAUUAAUUCUUGUC
rnacentral:tRNA from 1 species